UACGGGGGGGGCAAGCGUUGUUCGGAAUUACUGGGCGUAAAGGGCUCGUAGGUGGCCAACUAAGUCAGACGUGAAAUCCCUCAGCUUAACUGGGGAACUGCGUCUGAUACUGGAUGGCUUGAGUUUGGGAGAGGGAUGCGGAAUUCCAGGUGUAGCGGUGAAAUGCGUAGAUAUCUGGAGGAACACCGGUGGCGAAGGCGGCAUCCUGGACCAAUACUGACACUGAGGAGCGAGAGCCAGGGGAGCAAACGGG
rnacentral:rRNA from 1 species